CCUACGGUAGGCUGCAGUGAGGAAUAUUGGUCAAUGGCCGUAAGGCUGAACCAGCCAAGUAGCGUGAGGGAAGACUGCCCUAUGGGUUGUAAACUUCUUUUAUGCGGGGAUAAAGGUGUGCACGUGUGGAUGUUUGCAGGUACCGCAUGACUAAGGAUCGGCUAACUCCGUGCCAGCAGCCGCGGUAAUACGGAGGAUCCGAGCGUUAUCCGGAUUUAUUGGGUUUAAAGGGUGCGUAGGCGGCCUUUUAAGUCAGCGGUGAAAGUCUGUGGCUCAACCAUAGAAUUGCCGUUGAAACUGGGAGGCUUGAGUAUGUUUGAGGCAGGCGGAAUGCGUGGUGUAGCGGUGAAAUGCUUAGAUAUCACGCAGAACCCCGAUUGCGAAGGCAGCCUGCCAAGCCAUGACUGACGCUGAUGCACGAAAGCGUGGGGAUCAAACAGGAUUAGAUACCCUUGUAGUC
rnacentral:rRNA from 1 species